GCCGGGCCGGUCUGGGCCUAGCCGAGCCUUACCGAGCCGUGUGGAGCGGAGCCUUGCGGGAGAGUUCGGUGGCUGAGGGAGUGUUGCCGCGAGCGUACACCGUCAUAGCACGCGGGAUCGUUAGGUCGCCGGCCGCCUGGUGCGGUGGCGUUGCUCUCUUCGGAAAAGUCGCCCGUCAGGAGUUCUCCGCCAACGUUAUCCGCUAGGUGGAGCCGUUGUGGACACAGAGGCACUCGCGAUGGCCUUGUCAUCUUCCCCCAGCUUCCAAAUAAAAGGACCUGGCUUUUAUCGUGUAAUAGCAGCAUCGACAAGCGGCAGGCGUGGAAUGAUAGAGGAAUGCGGUUGGAAGAAAGCUUCCAGGUAUCAUCUGUCGUAUGGCCCUGUCCCAAGACCGAACCAACUCUACCUGCAUGAUUUCUGACUGGUGCUCGUCAGCCUGUUCUUAACCAAUCUCGGAGUUUUGCCACCGCUUCCGCUUUCUUUUCAGUCACGGAUUUUGCGACGUGGAGAAUUAAUUUCUCCCGCAGAAACUUUCCCCAAUGGAAAAGACUUUGUGAUACUUGAGACGGCAAUUGUUGCGCUUCUGCUGUCUUUGAUACUCAGCUGCCCUUCUCCAUUUUUCUUUUUUAAUACGAACAAAACAUUU